rnacentral:rRNA from 1 species
AGAGCGAACGCUGGCGGCAGGCUUAACACAUGCAAGUCGAGCGGGCGUAGCAAUACGUCAGCGGCAGACGGGUGAGUAACGCGUGGGAACGUACCUUUUGGUUCGGAACAACACAGGGAAACUUGUGCUAAUACCGGAUAAGCCCUUACGGGGAAAGAUUUAUCGCCGAAAGAUCGGCCCGCGUCUGAUUAGCUAGUUGGUGAGGUAACGGCUCACCAAGGCGACGAUCAGUAGCUGGUCUGAGAGGAUGAUCAGCCUCACUGGGACUGAGACACGGCCCAGACUCCUACGGGAGGCAGCAGUGGGGAAUAUUGGACAAUGGGCGCAAGCCUGAUCCAGCCAUGCCGCGUGGAUGAUGAAGGCCCUAGGGUUGUAAAGUCCUUUCGGCGGGGAAGAUAAUGACGGUACCCGCAGAAGACGCCCGGCUAACUUCGCGCCAGCAGCCGC